AACGAACGCUGGCGGCAGGCCUAACACAUGCAAGUCGAGCGCGCCUUUCGGGGUGAGCGGCGGACGGGUUAGUAACGCGUGGGAAUAUGCCCAAAGGUACGGAAUAGCCUCUGGAAGCGGAGAGUAAUACCGUAUGUGCCCUUCGGGGGAAAGAUUUAUCGCCUUUGGAUUAGCCCGCGUUAGAUUAGGUAGUUGGUGGGGUAAUGGCCUACCAAGCCUACGAUCUAUAGCUGGUUUUAGAGGAUGAUCAGCAACACUGGGACUGAGACACGGCCCAGACUCCUACGGGAAGCAGCAGUGGGGAAUCUUGGACAAUGGGGGCAACCCUGAUCCAGCCAUGCCGCGUGAGUGAUGAAAGGCCCUAGGGUCGUAAAAGCUCUUUCGCCUGUGAA
rnacentral:rRNA from 1 species